UACGAAGGGGGCUAGCGUUGUUCGGAAUUACUGGGCGUAAAGCGCACGCAGGCGGAUUGAUAAGUCAGGGGUGAAAUCCCGGGGCUCAACCUCGGAAUUGCCUUUGAUACUGUCUAUCUUGAGUCCGGGAGAGGUGAGUGGAAUUCCUAGUGUAGAGGUGAAAUUCGUAGAUAUUAGGAAGAACACCAGUGGCGAAGGCGGCUCACUGGCCCGGUACUGACGCUCAUGUGCGAAAGCGUGGGGAGCAAACAGG
rnacentral:rRNA from 1 species